rnacentral:lncRNA from 1 species
AAGUAGUGAAGGUCGCUAGUCACGAUCGUGUUAAGUAGAUUCCUGGCAAGAGUAUCAUGCUUUUCAUAGUUAUGAAUGCCUUGUCGAUGCUUAUGAUUUCCAAAGAACGUAAUGAUUCUAACUUGUGUCUUUAUCAUGCUGUUCAUAUAAAGAACUUGUUAGGAAUAAUUUGUUUGCGAUGCAUAUUCAUCCAAUUCAAUGAUCCUAGGGAAAUCUGAAGGUUAAUUUAAGCAAACCUAAUUAACUUGGAGUGUUGAGGUUCAUAACUUAUUGAAUUGAUAA